UAGCUCGGGAAUGUGUUGCUAGGAUGCAGUC
rnacentral:piRNA from 1 species